ACUGCUCAGUAACACGUGGACAACCUGCCCUUAGGUUGGGUAUAAACCCGGGAAACUGGGUAUAAUACCCGAUAGGUCUCGAUUGCUGGAAUGCAUCGAGAUUUAAAGCUCCGGCGCCUAAGGAUGGGUCUGCGGCCUAUCAGGUAGUAGUGGGUGUAGCGUACCUACUAGCCUACGACGGGUACGGGUUGUGAGAGCAAGAGCCCGGAGAUGGAUUCUGAGACACGAAUCCAGGCCCUACGGGGUGCAGCAGGCGCGAAAACUUUACAAUGCUGGCAACAGCGAUAAGGGAACCUCGAGUGCCAGGUUACAAAUCUGGCUGUCGAGAUGCCUAAAAAGCAUUUCAUAGCAAGGGCCGGGCAAGACCGGUGCCAGCCGCCGCGGUAACACCGGCGGCUCGAGUGGUAACCGUUAUUAUUGGGUCUAAAGGGUCUGUAGCCGGCCGGAUAAGUCUCUUGAGAAAUCUGGCAGCUUAACUGUCAGGCUUUCAGGAGAUACUGUCUGGCUCGAGGCCGGGAGAGGUGAGAGGUACUUCAGGGGUAGGGGUGAAAUCUUGUAAUCCUUGAAGGACCACCAGUGGCGAAGGCGUCUCACCAGAACGGACCUGACGGCAAGGGACGAAAGCUAGGGGCACGAACCGGAUUAGAUACCCGGGUAGUCCUAGCCGUAAACGAUACUCGCUGGGUGUCGGCCACGGUGCGACCGUUGUCGGUGCCGUAGGGAAGCCGUGAAGCGAGCCACCUGGGAAGUACGGGCCGCAAGGCUGAAACUUAAAGGAAUUGGCGGGGGAGCAC
rnacentral:rRNA from 1 species